rnacentral:rRNA from 1 species
UGGGGGAUAUUGCACAAUGGGCGAAAGCCUGAUGCAGCGACGCCGCGUGGGGGAUGAAGGCUUUCGGGUUGUAAACCUCUUUCGCUAUCGAACAAGGCCCGCUUAGGGUGGGUUGAGGGUAGGUGGAGAAGAAGCGCCGGCUAACUACGUGCCAGCAGCCGCGGUAAUACGUAGGGCGCGAGCGUUGUCCGGUAUUAUUUGGCGUAAAGGGCUUGUAGGCGGCUUGUUGCGCCUGCUGUGAAAACGCGGGGCUUAACUUCGCGGGGGCAGGGGGUACGGGCAGGCUUGAGUGUGGUAGGGGUGACUGGAAUUCCAGGUGUAGCGGUGGAAUGCGCAGAUAUCUGGAGGAACACCGAUGGCGAAGGCAGGUCACUGGGCCAUUACUGACGCUGAGGAGCGAAAGCAUGGGUAGCGAACAGG